UACAGGGGGGGCAAGCGUUGUUCGGAAUUACUGGGCGUAAAGGGCUCGUAGGCGGCCAACUAAGUCCGACGUGAAAUCCCAAAGCUUAACUUUGGAACUGCGUCGGAUACUGGAUGGCUUGAAUUCGGGAGAGGGAUGCAGAAUUCCAGGUGUAGCGGUGAAAUGCGUAGAUAUUCGCAAGAACACCAGUGGCGAAGGCGGCUCACUGGCCCGAUACUGACGCUGAGGCACGAAAGCGUGGGGAGCAAACAGG
rnacentral:rRNA from 1 species